CUAGUUUCAACUAUUGUCGCACUUGAAAAAUGUAAAUGAUCUUUGCAUAAUAGCUGGAUGCGACUUUACUGUAAAGAGAGCUUUGAAGAAAAUUUUGCAAUGCUCCCUCCCUCCUUCCGUGAUGACUCUUUUUUCUCUGAAACUUCCAUUGCUCUGUAUAGAUUUUUAUUCAUCUAUAUAUUCGAAUUGGUCUUCUCAAUUCCUUGUCUAUUUUGAGUAACUGAAUCGGAAAAAGAAGCUUCAAUUUCAAAAAGCUCACCCUAAAAUCUAAAUCCGGCGGGUUUAUGAUCUGACCCCUUUUUUCUUUCUUUAAAUUACCCAAAAAAUUUAUUAUCAGUAAACUGGAGAAUGCCACCUAAAUUAUUUUAUGCGCGUCCAUCAUCUUUCAGCCGCAGAUCGAAGUUCUUGAUCUUCUGUCUAGUCAUUGGACUUUCGGGUUUCAUCUUAGGCUUUAUCGUGAUUUCACGGCCGAAUUUGGGGCAUAAAUGUGAGUACAACAAGCCCCUAUCGGUUUCUGUGACUUGGGAUAGGUCUGCUAGUAGUGGUGGUCUUGGUGGUAGUAGAGAGUUGAUUUCUGAUGAGGGGCAAAAAAGGUUCAAAGUGAUGGGCUUUGUAGGCAUACAAACGGGGUUCGAAUCCACAGGUAGACGACAGGCGUUGCGGAAGACUUGGUUUCCCUCUGAUAAAGGAGGCCUUAAACGGUACUACCAAACUCUUUUUCUUCUCGGUUUUAAUUUUAAUCAUACCUGAUACACUUUUCUAUGCCUGAAUAACAUUGAUAUGUUCAAAAUUGAGAAAAUGUGAACCGAUAUAUGGAAAAAUGUGCGCUUUUUGUAUUUGUUUGUUUUAUUUGAUUGGAAUUUUUUUUUUUUUUAAUUGCUUGGAUAUUUUCACUGUGUUGUUUAGAAUAAUAAUGUUUUUGUAUUAAAUAAAGGGAAAAAGUGGCAUCUUUUUUCUCUUUUUAUAUAAAUAAUGAGAACUUGUAGAUUAAGAUUCUAAGCAAUUCCUCGUUCAUCUUUUUCAACCCCAAGAUUCUUCAUGUUGUAUGUAGCUUUAGUAGAAUGGCUGUUUAUAAGGAAAAGGUAAGGUUCUUAUAAAGGCCUUGUUGAUAUGUGGAAUUAUCAUGGUUAAUACUUAGUCCAAUCAAAUUUCUGGUUCAUCAAUUAUGAGUCUUUAAUUGUUUCUUAUUCAUAUAUGAUGUACCAUUUCAUUAAUUACUUGCUUGGAAUGACAUAUAGGUUGGAAGAAUCCACAGGCUUGGUUUUUAGAUUUGUAAUUGGUAGAACCAGCAACAAACCAAAGAUGUCAGAGCUUAAGAAGGAAGUGGCAGAAUAUGAUGAUUUCCUGCUAUUAGAUAUCGAGGAGGAGUAUAAUAAGCUCCCAUAUAAAACGUUAGUGCUGACUUAUUAUAAAAGGAUCCUAUGCACAUGUUCUCUGUGAUUGACUCUGACCUUGGCUCUUUUUCAGUAUUGCUUUCUUUAAAGCUGCCUAUGCCCUUUAUGAUUCUGAUUUCUAUGUUAAAGCUGAUGAUGACAUAUAUUUGCGACCAGGUGAUUCUAGGAAUUGUAUCUAGAUUUCAGAUUUUUGUGUGCGUCAGAUUUGUUUAUUCAACUAUUCUCUUUUGUUUGCCUAUUGUUACAAUAUCUUAGCUAUAAUUUCUUCCUGAGCAGAUCGUCUUUCAUUGCUCUUGGCUAAAGAGCGUCCUCACUCACAAACAUAUAUUGGAUGCAUGAAAAAAGGACCAGUUUUCACUGACCCAAAGCUAAAAUGGUUAGUCCACACAUCAGUUUGUGAUAUGUAUUCUGCAGCUUAUUUGUUGUUUGUCAUUUGACAUGGUGUUUUGCAGUUGUUCUGCUACUUGUCAUUUAACAUGGUGAUCCGCUGUAAUUUUUAAUCUGCAUUUAACUUGGCCUAAUUAAGUUCUUGAAAAUUCCAAAGUUAAUUUUUCUCUUGAUACUGUACACUGUAUCUGUCGUAUUAAAAAUUGAAAGAGAAAAGGAUUCAUUGCCAUUCUACCUGGCCUUUCAAAUAAAAAUGCCCUUUAGUUGGCUUCAUAGAUUAAUGGAACAAAGUUUGUCCUUACUAUAUUGUAAAUUUUAGGUAAAUGCUUAGUGGUGUGAGGUUGAGGAGAAGAUUGAAUAAUAAAUAAAAUAAUUGAACACCACCCAAUCUCUUAAAAUGGGAAGAAGUCGAGGGAAGUGGCUUCAUUUACCUAUUAUGUUAAAUAUUGUUCAUAUGAAGCACAUAAGUGGUGGUUUUAUGCACUAUUGUUUUUAAAGCUAUGAAGUGAAGUGAUUGGGUUACUUUGAUUCAUACAGGUAUGAGCCACUGUCACAGUUACUUGGGACAGAGUAUUUUAUUCAUGCUUAUGGUCCAAUAUAUGCUCUAUCCGCGGAUGUUGUGGCAAGCUUGGUUGCUUUGAGAAACAACAGGUUAGUGUCCUUUUCAUUAUGUUUCCAAUGAAUACCUUUCUUCAGCUAGUUACCUAAAAAUUGUCUUGCCUUGCAUGUUGUGCUAUACAUGGUACAAUACUGUAGAAUAUAUUGCUAAUAUGGUCUUCUCUUUUCUUCCAAUCUGAAAGGAACUAGUUUUUUGAAAUUGAGAAGUUGGACAAGUGUUCUCUGACCAUCAUUAUGAUAUUUAUUUAGGCAACCUUGCACACAAGGGGUCUGUGGGAGGAAACUUGAAUGAACUUAGGAAAUGACAUAUUUUGUUGUGAAUCCUCAUCAAUUGGGAAUAAUCUUUUCAGAAGGCAGGAAAUUUAGUGAUGGGAACAAUAGAUAUUAGGCAAGCAGCAUAGGAUUGCUAAAUAUUGACAGUGGAAAUAGGGGAUGUAGCCAUAAUAAUAUUGUCCAGGACAAUUGAAAAAGUAAUAUUUCUUGAUUCAAAAAUGUCAAAUCUCAUCUAAAUGAUUAUUUGUCUAGACUAUGAGUAUUAUAAUAUUGUCGAGUACAAUUUAAUACUGCGUACUAAAUAAUAAAUUUAGGGGAAUAUAAGCUUUGUCGUGCAGCUACUCGAAGUAGUGAUUACUUAUUGACCUCACAGCAAUAGGAAGACAGCCAGGUCAUCAUUCUGUGCCUCUGCCAUCACAGGAUGAUGGCUGCCUCUCUGUUGUCACAAUAACUUUCUUGUAUGGUUCUGCUACACCUAAAAGAAUAUUUCCUGUAAAACCACAUAUCCUUGGCUAGGCCUUGAGGCCAGUGUCUUUCUAUCAUGGCUUAUUGGAUGCCAUUGUAUAUUUCUUAAUGUAGGGAGAGGAAGGGAGAAGGGACAAGACAUCAGGGGAGCGGGGGGAGGUCUGGGACAUAGGGUGGGCGAGUGAGGAAGAGAUGACUCGGGGAAGGUAAAGGUGAAAGUAGAGGCUAUUUUUAAUAAGGUUAAAUUGAGCAUUUGAGGUAUAAAGAAGUUAUUUUAAAAGACAAUAUUGAAGGUGGUCAAUUUUAAAUUUUCCCAUGUCAGCUUACGACAGGGCUUACAUGAGAAUAUUUGUUUUGGAUUAACUUGAGUUUUUGUUUCUUUCAUCUGGAAUGAUCCUCCGCUGUGCUGUGGGUUAGCUAAGUGCUACUUUCUCUUUCAAAUAGUUUCCGCAGACUGUAAUUACAGAAUACUGAUGGAGAGGUCGAUUAUGCAUGAUUAAUUCAUUUUUCAUUCAUUACUUAUGUAAAUAACUGUUUAUUUGCACAAUAUGAUACCGUAGGAUUCCUUUUGAAAUUCUGGGCUCUGUGCCUCUGAUUCAAAUACCUAUGUUUGAUACACAGUUUCCGGAUCUUUAGCAAUGAAGAUGUUACCAUUGGUUCAUGGAUUCUUGCAAUGAAUGUCAAUCAUGAGGAUAAUCGGCAGCUAUGUGAACCAGAGUGUACACCCUCAUCUAUUGCUGUUUGGGAUAUUCCCAAGUGUUCAGGUACGUCGUUUCUAGUAGUUCAAAACUGCAUAGAUAUUUCUCCUGGUGCUUAAUUAUACUCGUAAUGAAUCGUUUUUGUAUUAAAGCUGAUGCAUAGUAAUUACUAAUAUCAGUGAUGAGUUUGGCCAUAUACUGAGAUAUGUUGACCAUUGUUUAUGAAUUUUGUUGGAAAUUCUUCCGAUCCUCCAUCUUGAAUUAUAUUCCAAUGAAUAGGUUAUUAACUGAUUGAACACAAACUACACUGUUCUUCUGUGUGUCUCACUCCAAAUUGAUUUUGUAUAGCAUAACUCGCUGUUCAUUAAACUUUCUUAUAGGUUCCAAUAGUGUAUUGCUUUGAAGUGUUAGCUAUAGCAUGACAAUCUUGGUAAUAUUAUGUCUAGGACUCUGCAACCCUGAGAAAAAGAUGCUGGAACUUCAUGAGAAAGAUAGUUGUUCAAAAACCUCAACUGUACCUUCUGAUGAUGAUGAUUAACUCUAUUUGUUGCUCCUACCGAGAUUCAGGUAACUGGAACUGUGUUUCCAAGAGUGCUUUCUCCAUCGAGAACUAGGGAAAUGUUUUCGCAGCAUAUUUUGGCUCAGCACUCGAUAUCCCCUUGUACUUUAUCAUCUCAUUAAAUUUGUCAGAAGGAAAUGUUGAUGUAGUUGAUUUUGAAUUAAAAUACACUUUUAAUGGAUUUUCAACCUAUACAAAUGAUAGAAAAUAGUGGGAUUUUCAAUUCUUGCAAG
rnacentral:lncRNA from 1 species